CAUUAGUAUCGAGCCAAGUUUUUAAUAAAUUAAGAGAAUGGGACAGUAAUAAGCAAGCAAUGGCUGGUGAUUGAUGAAUGGAAUAAAGUAAAAGGUCAUCAGCAUACUGAAGGAUACAAAUCUGAUUACUUAAAGAAGCUUUCAUAUCAUGGGUAUAAAUAUUAUAUAAGAUGGGACUUAAGACUGAUCCUUGAGGGAGACCUCUUCAUAAGGUACAUUCAAAUACUGUAGCUUUUUAUGGAGAACUGACAACACUACAUUGUCAUAAGCAGAGUGUACAUCUAAAAAUGUGGCAACAACAGAAUCAUUCCUUGAAAAAGCUAAAAAAAUUUCAGUGAUAAAGAUGGCAAUACUGUCCAAUGUACUCUUCCCUCGACGGAAACCAAAUUGACUGUCACAAAGCAAUUUAUUGCUUUCUAUAAACCAUUCAAGGCGAGUUUUCACCAAACGUUCACAGAGUUUUAUCAAGACCGAAGAUAAUGCAAUAGGACGAUAUGAGUUUGCAUCAGAGGAAUUCUUAUUAGGAUAUAUUCAAGAGAGUGGUCACCUAAAUGAGAAAUGAAGGAAUAUGGGAUUCCAUCGUCACCAGGAGCAGAGUCUACUAAUGAAGAUAGUAUUCCUUUAAUUUCAUACAUAGAAAAUGGACUAUUGAGACCAGAGGGGUUCAGUAGCAUCAGAGGCAUAAUUAUUCUUUCAGUAACAGUAGUAGGGGCAAGUCUGUCCAGGAAUUGAUUAUUUAAUGAAGCCGGGAGAAAACCAGAAGAAGUUUCAGUAAAUGCACACCUGAAUCUUCUAAUAUUACGCCAUACCACAGAAGGACAGACAUUAGGGGAAAUAGAGAGACAAAAAGAUUUCCAGCUAUCUGCUUUUUUCUUUUUGAAUAAUAAACUAGUGGCCUUGAAAGCAUCUGUAACCAGAUAAAAAAUUUCAGAUGUACAAUUCUCACAAUAUUGGAGCUCAACUUGUUUUCUUUUUUUAAUUGCAUCCGAACAUUUUUGAUCCCACCAAGGUGGAGAUGGAAUAAAGCCCAGAGCACCAUUUUUAAGCGGAAAAGUUUUAUCAGCUACCUCUAUAAAUAAUUUAGUUAGUGCUUCAGCACAAACUGAUUCUGAACCAUGUGAGAUAUUAGGAAGACAAGUCAUCUUUUGUUCUAUACGGGUUUUAAAGGUAUCCCAAUCAGCAUUAUUAAGUCGAUAUUUCAAUCUAGGAGAAUGUCUAAAUGGAAAAUUAAUAUGAAAAGGAAAUCUAAGAAGUAAAGGGAAGUGGU